rnacentral:lncRNA from 1 species
AUGUUUAGACGGAGGUUCACAUGGAUGCAUGAGUCAGCAAAUGACAGAGAAAGGCCACUGAAAGUCUGUAUCAGAACUCAGAAGGAUGUCUAUUAACCGAAAAUAAGCGAUAUUAGUAAAUAAAUAUUUAUUUAUCACCUCUAAUUUGUACACAUAUAUCCAAAUUAUAUAUAUUGUGGAUAAGAAAAUUAAAGAAAUCAUCACUAGGAGCCUUAUUUUUUUCUUUGAACAGCAAAAGCUUUCAUUAUAUAAAUGAAAUAAAUGAAUGGCAGUCUAGCAAAACACUAGAAAGCCAAUUAUACACCAAAAUUACGAUUUGUUUGAAACACUAAAUUUGCACCACAUAUCCCAAAUCUAAAAAAGACCAAAUAUCCCAAAUCUAAAAAAGAGAAGAAGAACUAUAGGUAUGACGGAAUCCGUAAGUAAUUGUGAGGGGUGAGAAAACGAGGACAUCGGUUUCUUACUAGUCAUGCGGGCUUAGGCUGCGCUAGCGUGGAGGCUUAUGUAAGGCUCUAUAUAGUUUGAUAUAACUAAAACAAUGAGUUACAUAAUUUAUAUAUACUCUAAUUUGUAACAUAUAUAGGCAUUGGCUGGUUGUACUGUGUGCAUAAUCAGUUUUCUUGGCAUACUGAAUUUGUACUCUUCUUUGCUUUUGUUGUACUCUUAUGUAUUCAUUACACUUUCUCUCAAAACACAAUCACUCCUCAAGAGAGAGAGAGGAAGUUCAGAUGAAAUAGGGGAUAAAGCAAGAGAUGGAAAGAGACUGGAGGAAGGAGACAAGGAGGCCGACCACCGUUGUUAGUGGGUGGCUUGGCGUUGGCAUCAUCUUCAUCCACACGCUUGGCCUGCCUGUAUUCCGACGAACCUAGGGUUCUGCUGUCACUUCCGGCGAUAGGGUCAAAUCAACCACCAAAUCCGGCGGCGGCUAGGGUUUCGUGGUGUAAGGGGUUGCUGAUGAUAUUCAGAUCCCCGACUUCCGGCGGUGGUGGAUAGGGUCAAAUAACCACCAAACCCGGCGGCGGCUAGGGUUUCGUAGAGCCAACUUGACAUUUCUGGUGAAUUCUGCAAUGGUGUGGUAAGUUUUAACUUCCAAGAGCUUGAAUUUGUAGAGCCAGUACUUAAGCCUUAGAAUUACCCCACAAGUCAAACAACCGCCAUCUGCAUUCCUCCACCUUCGACAUCUUUUACCUUUUCCAUAGCUUAACCCUCUCACUUAAACCAAAUCCAAAUUCAGCUGACUUGCAAUCAAACCCCGGUAUAGCACUUGUAUUGACAUCGAAGAUGAUCCUGAUCAGAUCGAUGCGCUCACAUUCCUAUUCAUCGUCUCCGGCGUCAGUGAUUAUUUAAAGGUGAGAUUUUGAUAUGAAAUGGAUAGUGAGGAAUCGGAUGUUAGUGGGUCUGAUGAGGAGGACACAUCGUGGAUAUCAUGGUUUUGCAACCUGCGCAGAAACGUGUUUUUCUGUGAAGUUGAUGAUAAUUACAUCCAAGAUGAGUUUAAUCUCUGGUUUGAGCAGCCAAGUCCCCUAUUAUGAGACGCUCUUGAUUUGAUCCUGGACGUUGAAUCCUCUCAUGUUACAGGAUUUUGUAAUCAUCUCCUACUCAGCGAUGGUAAUACUAUUGUGUCGAAGUUGAACGCCACUGAACGACGGCGCUCACACGGCGGUUUCCAACAGAUCAUAGGAUGGUAUAGGUGUUGGUGUAGAGGAAAGGCUUGACUUGGAUAUCUGAGGUAAUAUACUUGAAAUUGUUGGUUAUGGUUUACUCAUGUAUGAUCUAGAACAUCUUUGUUGCAGCCUUUUUCUCCAAUAGUGGUUGCUACAAAUGAGGGUGAAUGUAUCAAGUAUGCUACCUUUAUUUGUUUUUUUGUUUCUGAUACUUGGAUUUCUUUUUUACUGUCGAAAUUUUUCUCUCUACAUUGUGUUUUAU